GCCGUCAUGGUGGAAUUGGUAGACACAAGGGACUUAAAAUCCCUCGGUAGCAAUACUGUGCGGGUUCGAUUCCCGCUGACGGCACCA
rnacentral:tRNA from 1 species